UUCUAGACCAUUGAGAGCCUGUCAAAUGGUGAAUUCCUGCAUCACCAGUCCUUCUGCACCUUCAAAGAAAUUUACCUUCAAAUCCAAGAGCUCCUUGACAUCAUGCCUUGAUUCUGACAGUGAGGAUGAACUUAAACGCUCUGUGGCCCUCAGUCAGAGACUUUGUGAUUUGCCAGGCAAUGAACAGUACCAGGAAGAUGUGGAAAAAGAUUUGAAAUUGUGCAGAUUAGAUCCUGGGAAGUCCGAAUUGGAGAACUCAGGAUUUGACAGAAUGAGUGAGGAAGAGGUGCUGGCAGCUGUGUUAGAGAUAAGCAGGAGAGAAGCCUCGCCGGUACUCAGCCCUGAAGAUGAUGAUAAGCCAACCAGCAGUCCGGACACUGGGUUUGCAGAAGAUGAUAUUCCAGAGAUGCCUGAAAAUCCAGACGCUAUGGAAAUUGAGAAACCCAAAGCAAUCACUGAGCCAGGUCCUGCUAGUUUUACUGAGAUAACAAAAGACUGUGAUGAGAA
rnacentral:lncRNA from 1 species